CCUUACUUGGUGAGAUCACAUCCUAAAGUGGUAUGGAGUCUAAGACUCUGGGCUUGAGACAUCACAGUCUGUUGCUAUGGAAAUGAUUAUGAUGCCACAAAUGCAGCAUUGUAACUUUACAGCAGAAAGAAACAGGAGAAGAUGGAGGGCAAGGGAGCAAAUCCUGCCUUCGGCACCAAUAUGUCUCGUAAUUUCCUGAGCAAACCAGCUAAGAGGAAUCACAAAAAAAAUUGAGGAAGAGAAAACUGAGGUCCAGAGAAGUGGCUUUCUGGAAGCCUUCAUUAAUAGCAAGAAAGACCAAAGGCAAGUCAUCCAAUACCAAUUCCAGACAACUCUGCCAUCACACCAUACUGCCUCAGAUGAAAGGCCAAUGAUAGUGGGAAGAAGCCCAGCUGGAAAGAGAAAUCCAGGAAAACCAGGGAGGUUGAGAGAGUAUGAAAAAGGAGACUCUUAAUAGAAUCAGAGAACAUCAGAACUCGAAAGAAUCUUACAAGUCAUCUAAGCUGAACCCUUCGUUUUCCAGAAGAGGAAGAGAAAAUUAAGACCUAGGAAGAAGACAGGAUUUACCCAAUGCUGUGAAAGUAACAAGUAGCAACAUCUAGUUUUUUAACCCAGAACGUUAAUCGGCUAUGCUGAGCACAAAAACUACAUUCAACCCAGAUUUUAUGACAUGAAGCAAACUCCUCCUCCAUGGAUUUCAUUUAACUCUUCCAUCUCUUCAUCUCAGGAAUUUCCCCAUGCCGUACAUGGAGCCCUUGUCUGAAAAAGAGAUCAGAUUGCCCCGGUUUCUAGUUUUUAAAACCCAAUUUAUGACUGUAUUGCUAAAACCCCAACACAAUGCUGACCAAAUGGAGCAUUUUUAUCUCACAUUCUCACAAACUGGAGCCAUGAACAAAGUGCAAACCCAAUUAGUCCAUCAGAUCCAAGUGCCUGGUAUUGAGGCAAAUGCUGAGGGGUGAAAACAUAGAAAUGCUACUGUAAUUAAUUCUCCAAAUAAACUGAUGGUACCUUGCCCAUCACAUAGUAUAUAUACACAUUUAUUCCCAUAUACAAACCCACAUACGUAUAUAACAAAUACGCACAUUGACAUAUAUAAACACAUGUGUGUAUACAUGUAUGUAUAUAUGUGCCUGUACAUGUGUGUAUAUUAAUACAAAACAUCAAAACACUAGCCAGAAUCCACCUGAGAUGCUGGCG